CACGGAGGGUGCAAGCGUUAUUCGGAAUCACUGGGCGUAAAGAGCGCGUAGGCGGUCUCUUAAGUCAGAUGUGAAAGCCCGGGGCUUAACCCCGGAAGUGCAUUUGAAACUAAGGGACUUGAGUAUGGGAGAGGGAAGUGGAAUUCCUGGUGUAGCGGUGAAAUGCGUAGAUAUCAGGAGGAACACCGGUGGCGAUGGCGACUUCCUGGACCAAUACUGACGCUGAGGCGCGAAGGCGUGGGGAGCAAACAGG
rnacentral:rRNA from 1 species